GAGUGCCCGGAAGGCGUGGGCGAGAGGAGGGCGGCGAGGACGGCGGCGAGGACACGGCUGCAGUCCUGGUCAGACAGCCGCCGGCCGGUAGCGACGCGAUGGCGUCCGGCGCCCCGCCCCGCCUCGCCUCGCCUCGCGCAGUCCAGCGCCGCCCAGCGCCCGCCCCUCAGGGGGCCGCACGGGCCGGGGGAUGCACGCUGUGGAGGCGCUGGAUCGCCGAAGGUCUGGUUGAGAACUUGAACCCACCUGCCUGGAGCGGAUGCCUAAGAAAAUGCAGGCCCGCUGAAGCCUCCCCGCCGGGCCCUGGGCCCUGAAAGCCUCCAGCAGUUUCCCCUGACCCCGCGGCUGCUCUGCGCGUUUUCCGAUUUCUUGCUGGUUGAAUACCUCCCUCUCCACUCCCAACUUCAGGAUGAAAACUGAGGAGCUACAGCUAUUAUGCAACAGAGCCAGGUUCAAGCUCUGAGCUGUUUUACUCCAAAGACUGUGGCAAUAAGAACUCCUCUGAGAAAUACGUGGGCUGAGUAGAAAUUUUCAAUCCAUGCCUGGAUUUAAAGAACUAGAAAACAAAUAUACUUCACAUCAAAAUGAUUUAAUGUUUCUUCAGUGAAUCAGAAUCUGCUUGUUUCCAGGUCACUGCUACGAUUAUCAUGUUAGGCCUAUUUUUGAAGACAAAUAAUUUUUGAAGACAAAAUUGUUUUUCGUCUAUUUUUGAAGACAAAUUCAAAGGCCUAUUUUUGAAGACAAAAAAUAAUAUUAAGUAUUGUUUUUGAAAAUAAAUUUCUUACAUAAAGGACAGUUUUUCUAUAAUUUUUAUUUAAAGAAAAAUACAUUCUUGGUAUGACUUAUUAAAAUCUAAAUUACUGGCUGGGCGCAGUGGCUCACGCCUGUAUCCCAGCACUUUGGGAGGCUGAGGCAGGCAGAUCACGAGGUCAAGAGAUCGAGACCAUCCCGGCCAACAUGGUGAAACCCCAUCUCUACUGAAAAUACAAAAAUCAGCUGGCUGUGGUGGCGCAUGCCUGUAGUCCCAGCUAUUCAGUAGGCUGAGCCAGUAUAAUCGCUUGAACCCAGGAGGCGGGAGUUGCAGUGAGCCGAGAUUGCACCACUGCACUCCAGCCUGGCGACAGAACGAGACUCCAUCUCAAAUCAUCAUCAUCAUCAUCAUCAUCAUCAUCAUCAUCAUCAUCAUCAUCUAAAUUACUAAGGCUAUGCUGUCCACUGGCAAGGCUUAACUCUGUGACUAAGUUUAAAAACCAAAGUAAUUCCAUUAUAUGUUACAGAUAAAACAUUGGUAGGUUUUGUUUUCUCAUUUUAUUAGCAAGUAUGUGUUACAUAGCGGGCAGUGUGCAAGAUUCCAAGGAGACUAUGAUAAAUAAGAUAGGCACCAGCUCUGCCCUCAAGGACUAGUUGAUACUGACACUGAGCAAAUUAUUACCUCUUCCAAGUCUCACUCACCCACACUGUAAAAGGUUGGGAGAACACCUACUCCAUAUUUUGCAAGAAUCACUGGCACCAAAUCACUGUAUUCCAGGGUGUGAUGACUGGACACACAUAAGUUUGUAUGUGUGUCAAGAAUAUUAAUUUUCUUUAUAGCCUUGUAUUUAAUCAAAUGAACUUGAAAUUAAAACCCUCAAAAUUCCUGUAUUCAUUUUCCAGAAAAAAACAUGUCUCCUAAGCCAAGGUCAGAUUGACCAUGAAGUGCUACACUGAUACUAUUCUUCAAGACAUCUCUCACGACUAGGAUGCUGAGGUCCAAUUGUAAUGCUAAUGAAAUUCUAUUUUACAGGUUUCCCUCUUGGAUUAUAAAAGCAUUUUAAAGAUAUAAAAUAUAUUUACAAAUGAACUGUGGCUAUAAAAAGGUUAAAAAUGAUAUAUUAAUCACCAUACCUACACCCAUAAGUUCCACAGUCAGACUGGUCACUCCAUUUUCUGAGCCCAAAACUGAUCGCCAUUCCAGAAAAUACGAUGCUACUAAAGUCGUCUCACCAAAUAUGUC